UCUUGUUGACAUUGAGUGAGAGAUUGUUGUUGUGGCACUACUCAGCCAGAUUUUCAAUCUCCCUCCAAUAUACUGAUUCAUCACCACCUUUGAUUGGACUAUAUCUAGCUUCAUCUGGCUUUUUUUAAAAUUUAAGUUAUAGCAGAAAUGAAGUGUCUGAAGAUGCUGCCUGACCCACUGAGCUCCUCCAGCAGAAAUGGCAUGGCAAGAAAUUUUUAAAGACUUCUGAUGAUGAAGUGCCUGCUGAUCACAAAUUAACAGAUAAACUUAUUGAUACUGCCUGACCAGCUGCAUAUUUCCAGCUGUGGUGAACUACAUAUACGUGUCUGGACAUCCCCCCCCCUGCUGACUGCUCCUGUGGCUCCUCCCACAGACCCCUGUAUAAAGGUGAUUGAGGCCUGAGCCCGGCUCUCAGUCUCCAGGAUGUAGUAUGGUGGUCAACCACUGCUUGUUCCUUCUUCCAGUCAAUAAAAGCCAAUAUAUCGCC